rnacentral:piRNA from 1 species
UUCAAAGGAUGGUUAUCAUUUGACUGCUUGU